UGUGAAGUGUGCAAAGGAGUAGACACCAGCGGUCAGUCUCUUUCUCAGACAGGGAUGCUCUCCAGAUGCUCCAGAUGUCGGGUUCCUUCUGUACGACGCGUGAUGACUCAUCAGUGCCAUUUCUCGGAGAAAAUCACCUUUCCUUGCAAAUGGUGUGACAAUCACGAGGAGGAGAAGACUGAGAAGUGGCUGCUCAUUGAUUGGUUAUAUUAUAAGCUCAAGGCUGACCAGUCAUUUGCCAAGUCCUCACUUCUCGAGUUAAUUAUGAAUUAAUUAAUUCAUCAUCAUCCGACAGCUAUAAAAAGAUAAAUUGGUUAAAAUAAUUGUUGGUUGACUGUUAUGCUGUGUGUUCACAUCCUAAUCAAUGUCUAUAAUGAAGAUUGUUUUUAAGAAAAACACAAAAUUGCAUCAAAUUAUGUGGCAGGUAGAAACCACUUCCUCAAUUGAAUAAUUGAUAAGCCACGGCUCCUUCUCCUAAUUGGUUGAAACAACGGACUGCCUGUAUAAAGCCGGGCAGCUUAAGUAGUCCUGUUAGCCAUCGCCUCCUGUUUCUUUGUAUGUUUGACUGAAGAUCUGAGCUUGAAACAUGUUUUGUUUGUCCGUAGGGGACCCACUUGCUACCUUAAAGGUUUGCAUGCUCUGGGCCGGAUAGCUUUAACCCUUAUCUUGUUGCCUGUUUGUUGCCUGUUUUUUUGGACUAUAAAUCAUUAUAUCUUGA
ensembl:lncRNA